rnacentral:rRNA from 1 species
GACGAACGCUGGCGGCGUGCUUAACACAUGCAAGUCGAACGGCAACGCCCUGCUUUUGUGGGGUGCUCGAGUGGCGAACGGGUGCGUAACACGUGAGUAACCUGCCCUUGACUUUGGGAUAACUUAAGGAAACUGGGCCUACUCCCGGAUAGGAGCUCCUGCUGCAUUGUGGGCGUUGGAACGUUUCGGCGGUUGGGGCUGGACUCGCGGCUUAUCAGCUAGUUGGUUGGGUAGUGGCGUACCAACGAUUUGACGGGUAGCCGGCCUGGGAGGGGGACCGGCCACAUUGGGACUGAGAGACGGACCAGACGCCUACGGGAGGCAGCAGUGGGGAAUAUGGCACAAUGGGCGGAAGUCUGAGGCAGCGACGCCGGGGGCGGGAUGACGGCCUUCGGGGUAUAAAACGCAGUCGGCUGUUACGAAGCGGGAGUGACGGUAAUGGGUAAAGAAGCACCGGCUAACUACGUG